rnacentral:lncRNA from 1 species
UUAGGUAAUAUAUCGCCGAAUUAUCAAUUUACAAACAUACACUUUAUGGUUCUAGUGUUAGGAGCUGCAUUCCUUGAACAAGUCUAUAUUCGUUUGAUAAAUGUAUUUCUUGUGUGCUUUUGUUCAGGUAUUGUAAUAAUGUGUACUAGAAUGGAACCUUGGAAAGCUUUAAAGCUAUUGAAGUGUUUCUCUUUUUUUUCAGAGAUGGAAAACAACAGUCAAUAUGAAAGACAUCUUUCUCAUGUUUCACCUGACAUUUAUUUGCGGUUGAUCAGAGCUAAAAAUAUCGCGAGGAAAUGUUUUUUUUUGUAUAAAAUAUUACAUGCUUAAAUUAUAUACUCAAACAGAGGUAUAGUUUCAAUACAAUUUGGAAGAUAUAUAAAGAGAGAGAAGGAGUAUAAUUAUUUGUGAGUAGGUUCUAUUAUAGCAGUUAAUAUGUAUUCAAAUUGGAUUUAUUUAUUCAACGGAGUUUAAAAUGUACAUAGAUCUAGUAAUGGAGUUCAAUUAUAUGUGAGGAAGUUUUAUUAUAAUCAUUAAUUUUUUGUGUAUUCAAAUUGGAUCUAAUUUUCAAUAUACUUUGGAGUAUACAUAGACAGAGGAAUAUAAAUAAUUCUGUUAUUCAGGUCGGAUUUAAUUUUAAACACAAUUUGGAAUAUACCAAGAUAAAGUGAAAGAAUAAAAUUACUGGUGAUAAUGUUUUAAUGUGAUCAUUAAAAUUUGAAUCGGGUUGAAUUUUUGAUACAAUUUUGAAUAUAUACAGACAUGGUAAAGAAAGGUGAUGAUUUGUGAUAUUCUAAUCGAAUUUAAUUUUCAAUACAAUUCGGAAUAUUCAUACAUUUAGUAAAGGUAUAUUACUAUUGGUGAUAUUCAAAUCGAAAUCGAUGUUUAAUACAAGUUGGAUUGUGUAUAGGUAUAGCAAAGGAAUAUAAUUAUCGGUCGAUUGUGAAGGAAGUUCUACAGCUUCUAUUUAUCAGACACCUCAAUCUUGAUGGAAUCCAUCGCCACGAGGGUAUGAGAGAGGAGGCCAGUUUUCUUUUUUUAAAUCUGAGCGCCAAGCAAGGCAGCUACCGGUACCAUUUUUUACGUCUUUGGUAUGACGCGGCCAGGAAUUCCCGCACUCGAAGUAGACGCUCUACCACUAGGUUAUCGGGGCUGUUUUAAAUUGAUUAAUAAUACGAAUUACAAACAGAAAAGAAAAAAAGAAAUAAGACCGAGAAUAUACCGAGAAUAAUACUACUGACAAUUUGUUAAACGACCAAAUCAUCUGCCAAAAUUCUAAGGCCUUUUGUUUUUAAGUAUAAAAUAGUCACUUUUUUCCACUUUUAUAUGUAUGUUUAGAUGGAACAGUCAUGCAUUUCUAAUAAAAAUCCAUAACCAGAAA